UGGGCAGACCUCUGAGUUUAGUUCUCUGUGUUUCUGAUUAUAGUUUAUAAAGGAGAUUUUGGACCAGCAUAGAAACACACAUCUGAAAUCUGUGUACUUUAGAAUCUGCUGCAGGAAAACUCUGGAUUUGAGAUGGAGAGAGCAUGGGCUCGGAUGGUAUGGACUGACUCAGGCGACAGAACAGCGUGGGACAGUACCUCAGCCUUCCAGGACCCUGCAAAAAUUCUCCUAUUCUGUCUAUCUGCAAGAGCAGCCAGUAAAGAGAAGGGCAGAGCCACAGAGCCUGUAGACUUCAGAAGCCAGUAAAGAGAAGGGCAGAGCCACAGAGCCUGUAGACUUCAGAAGAAAACGGAAGUUGACAAAAAGAGUGUGAGUAGCCAGGGACACUUCAUUUCUAAAGUUGUGUUUCCAACUAUUCCCUAUUACACUUCUUUCUUGAUAUCCAAUGUGCUUUAGAGGAGGAAGGCUUUCAUUAUUAAUCUGUUUAGACUAGAACCUCCCAAACUCAUUUACUACUUCCUUUCCACCACACACUUAGUAAUACACAAAUUUUAUAGUGCACACACUUAUAUUUCUGGGAAAUAUUCCCGAAGUGAAGGAUGGUCAGGAGGAAACCAGCCCAAAAUCUGGGAGACUGCUGCCACAUGCCACAGCUUGCAGCACAGGGCUCAGGCUUGUGAAGAACUGUAUGACAGGACACUCUAAUCCAAACGGAAUAAGACGUAACUAUCUGUUCAGACUACAUUGUCUGGAUUCUCACUUAUGCUUGUGUGGGAGAAAGGAACAAAAGGGUGGAAGUCUGCUGCAAAAAUUUGUCUCUAUUAGUUCAGGAGGAGUAAUUUACUGUUCAGACAACUGUCUGAGUUUUGAUCCGUCUUCAUUUAUAACAAGAGAAAGCAAGAGAGAAACAGCUCUAAAAUUUCAGACUGCUCCCAAAAUUAUGAAGCAUCUGGAAGACUAUACUCGUGCUGCUGUGUCCCCUCCCAUUUGGAAAUAGAACAACAUAUGAAGAGUACAGGAACUUCACGAUCAGGCUGUUUGUGUUCAAUUCUGGAUGAGGUUUUAUUAAGAUAAUCUCUCUCAAAGUGUCCUAAGGAUAUAUUACAUUCUGUAAAUCAACUAUCCUAUCAUUCAGUGAUAAUUUUUGUCUCUACCCAUAAAAAAGAUUUUGUGCAUGUGUUUUCUUGAAUAUUUGGCACGUACUUAAACCUUACAGUGUCCUGGUAAGGUCAGUUUAAUUCCUCUAUCCAUUCCACAGAGAAGAAAGCUGAUAUGCAUUAGGAUGUUACAAAACCAUAGCAAGAAGAGGUGGAGUGUUUGAGAGUCGAGUCUGCAUCUUCGUGCACACUUAGCACCAUGAUCUUUGGCCUAAGUGACACUGUUGGAGAAGGGUGCUACUCUGUGUGUUUUCUGUAUGAUCCCAACCUCUAAUAGUAACACAUUGACAAGGAAGUUGAAACCUGAUGGCCCUAAGCCCCUAUCUAUUUUCUCUGGAACUCCAAUCUCUACUGGAGACCUUUUGUGGUCUAAGAUCUUAACGUAUCACCCAGAUCACCCUUCCUCAUCAGCAGUUCUUGAUGCUCUCCACUCUGUAGAAUGGAUCUUUCUCAGAGUUAUUGAGGUAAUGUGAGCCAACAGCAUGUCUGUUCACUGAGUUCAGUCCUGUGAACUCCUGAACUGGCCAAUGUGACCAUUUCCUUUCCUGUAUAACAGUGGGUGAGUCUAGAUGACAAUCUGUGGUGUCCUUCUGAACUUUUCUAAUGAGAGUGCUGACUCCUCCGUGAUUCUCAAGAUUUGUUGCCAAAUCCAGCUUACAGUAUAAUCCCUUCCCUUUGAUGUUUUCUCUUAGAAGCUCUAGCAUUUCCCUUUUUCUCUUUUCUCUGACAUAUCUGAACAUUGCAUCUCAGCACUGGUGAAAUAGAGGUCAACGUUACCUUCAUCUGGGAAGAGUUCCUCAAGUCCCCAGUGAAUUAAAUCCUCAGAUUACUAUCUGUAGGCAAAUAUCUCAAGCAAUUUGUCAUACACUACUGAAUUCUUUCCAGGCCAGGACUUUGGUACACAAAUGUACUAAAUUUCAAAGUAGAACGCUCGUGUUGGUUUGUAUUCUCCAAUUCUUAAUUUUUUUAAAGUGUCCAAACCAGCUGUUAAACUACCGACAGCUAGAAAUAAACUGUGGUGGGAAUAUGCACAAGAUGGGAAUGAAGGCUUCCUGUAAGCCCCAUUUCAGCCCACAGGAAUUCUCGCUAACCCUUCCCUAUGCACGUCUGUGCCCCCCCCCCUUUUUUUGGUUGAGUCCCGAAGGAUGUGGAGGAGGGGCAAUCACUGAAGGCUUUGCUUGAAAUAAGGAAGGAUUCACCUUCUGUUAACCCAGGCACUGACACUCCCUGUUCACUGUUCUCUUCUGUCAACUCAUUCCUUCUUCUAGAUUAAAAAUAAAUGCAAGAGAAUGCCUUAUGUUUCAUUUUACAGGCAAGUUAGCAAACAACAACAACAAAAAAAAUAGAGAAGUACCUGAAAUCAAGAGCAUUUUAUAUUGCCAUAGUGAUUUUGGAGGGUAAAUCUUUACAAGCUUGUCCCCUAUGUUAUGUAAAAGAAAUUGGGAGGCCUGAGUGACUUAUUUUAGCUCUGCUAGAGUUCAGUUUUGGAGCAAUGUUUUUCAGUCCUGUUGCAUAUUUCAAUUAGUUGAGUAUCUUUCAAAUAUUCCUUUGCCAGUCCCCUUCCCAGAUCAAUUCAGAUUUCAGAGGCAGGCUACCACUAUAACUUAGAUCUGAGAUGUUUCUCAGAGCUCAGAUGCUUGUUUUGCUCUGGCCUAUGGUGCUGUAGGGAGGUAGAAAUAUCUUUAAAAGGUGCAUCUGACUAAAAGGCAAGUAAGUCACCAGGGUGUGUCCUUGAAGUGGAUGUUGUGGCCCUAGCUCCUGGCUUUCUCUUUUUUGCUUCCCAGAUGCACAAAAUGGGCAGGCCUCGGUUACAUAUUCCCACCAUGAGGUAGUGUGUGCUGGUACAGGCCCAAAAGAACAGGCCAAAUGACUGCUACAGAACCUCUGAAUCCACAGGCCAAGAUGAACCCUUACUGUUCCUAAUGAGACUGUUAUAAACUUAUUUUAUCAGUAAUG